GAGAGAGGAGGAAGAGCAGGGAGGAGAGGAGCCCAGGCCCACAGCCCUAUAAAUGCACAGCUCAUCUGCAGCAAAUACCCUGCACCCUCACCCUGAACCUCUGGAUCACUCUUCUGCAUCCAAGACCAGCACAAUGCCCUCAUCAGCCUGUCCCAAACCCCACGGUCAAGAGUGGCCCACCAGCUCAGACCAUCCUCCCUGGAGCAGCUCUUCCUCAAACAACAUGCCAUCUCUGUUUCUCGGGACAGCGAUUCAGUGACACGGCCUGAGCAGCAAAGCCACGGGAUGAGGUCCCAGACAGCAGACCCGAAGAACAGCCUCGCCAUGGCCAUGAAUGGCCUCAUCAUCUUCAUCACAUGGACUGACCCCAGGCUCAACAGCCCCAUGUACUUCUUCCUUGGACACCUGUCUUUCCUGGACGUCUGCUUCAUCACCACCACCAUCCCGCAGAUGUUGGUCCAUCUGGUGACCAAGAACCACACUGUCUCCUUUGUCUCUUGCAUGACCCAGAUGUACUUGGUCUUUCUAGUGGGUGUGGCCGAGUGCAUCCUCUUGGCUUUCAUGGCCUAUGAUCGUUAUGUUGCCAUCUGCCACCCACUGAACUAUGCCGCGGGGACCUCAAGUUCACCAUGAAGUUGAUCUUUGUGGAUGCCAUUGUGGUGUUGCUCAGUCCCAUGGUGCUCAUCAUCACCUCCUAUGCCCGCAUCCUGGCCUCCAUCCUCCACAGGGCCUCCUCCUCAAGCCAUAGGAAGACCUUUUCUACUUGUGCCUCCCACCUGACUGUGGUCAUCUUUUUGUACACUUCAGCCAUGUUUUCUUACAUGAAUCCCCGCAGUACACAUGGGCCUGACAAAGACAAGUCUUUCUCCCUCCUCUAUACCAUCAUCAUGCCCAUGUGCAACCCGGUCAUCUACAGCUUCCGCAACAAGGAAAUGAAGGGGGCCAUGGGGCGGGCUCUUGGGAGAGGCAGCCUGGCUUAGGCAGGAUCUGCCCAGAAGGAGGGUGUCUGGAGAAGUUUCCUCAGUAGGGAGAAGGUUGCUUUUCUCAGCACCUCGCUUUUCAAUUCUGGGGAAGCUCUAAAAAGGAGCCUUGCCACUAGACUCAGACCUAGAAGUUCUUCCUGAUGUCUCAGGCUCAUUUCUGACUUUAUUUCCAGAAUUGUUUUUCCCAUGAAUUUUCUUUAAGGAGACGUGAGGCUUUCCUGACUAGUUCCUCUGUGUUCCGCAAGAGUCAAUGAGUAUUUAACUCUAUCUUGUCUGUAUAGUUCUUUUACAUGCCAUCCCCUGGGGGAACUUUUUGCACAUACAUUUAGGAAUAAGUGACUUUUCAAUCUUUUAAUAUGCCAUAUUAGACUUGGUAUUGGAAACAAAGCAGACAUGUAGAUUACUGGAAUUGAUUAGAGGGUAGAAUUCUAUGUAACUUUAGCCAUCUGAGUUUUGACAGAUGCCUUGGUAGUGCAUGUCACCAACUACACAGGAUCUACAGGUGCCUGGGAAGCAAGCCUCCAUACUUCUGAGGGAUUAUUUAACCUCUGAUCAGGCCCAUGAAGAAUUAUGUUGAUUAAGUGAACUGAGGUUGGGAAAUCCACACUACAAGUAGGCAGGACCAUUCCUGGUUCCGUAUAAAACCCAGCAAGCUAGCAGAGUAAGGUCAGUCAUCCACUGUUUCCCGUGUAUAGAUACAACGUGAUCAGUCAUCCACUGUUUCCUGUGUGUAGAUACAUGAUCCUGCCACUUUAUCUUCCCUGCCAGAAUGGACAGUUUGCUCUUCAACUAUAAACUGCAAUAAACUCCUUUUCUUUU
ensembl:processed_transcript Gm44579 predicted gene 44579